rnacentral:rRNA from 1 species
GAUGAACGCUAGCGGGAGGCCUAACACAUGCAAGCCGAGCGGUAUUGUUUCUUCGGAAAUGAGAGAGCGGCGUACGGGUGCGGAACACGUGUGCAACCUGCCUUUAUCUGGGGGAUAGCCUUUCGAAAGGAAGAUUAAUACUCCAUAAUAUAUUGAACGGCAUCGUUUAAUAUUGAAAGCUCCGGCGGAUAGAGAUGGGCACGCGCAAGAUUAGCUAGUUGGUGAGGUAACGGCUCACCAAGGCAAUGAUCUUUAGGGGGCCUGAGAGGGUGAUCCCCCACACUGGUACUGAGACACGGACCAGACUCCUACGGGAGGCAGCAGUGAGGAAUAUUGGUCAAUGGGUGCAAGCCUGAACCAGCCAUCCCGCGUGAAGGACGACUGCCCUAUGGGUUGUAAACUUCUUUUGUAUAGGGAUAAACCUUUCCACGUGUGGAAAGCUGAAGGUACUAUACGAAUAAGCACCGGCUAACUCCGUGCCAGCAGCCGCGGUAAUAGUACU